UACGUAGGGUGCAGGCGUUAAUCGGAAUUACUGGGCGUAAAGCGUGCGCAGGUUGUUUUGCAAGUCAGGUGUGAAAUCCCCGGGCUUAACCUGGGAAUUGCGCUUGAAACUAGCGGGCUUGAGUGUGGCAGAGGGGGGUGGAAUUCCACGUGUAGCAGUGAAAUGCGUAGAGAUUGGAAAGAACACCGAUGGCGAAGGCACUUUACUGGGCUAUUACUAACACUCAGAGACGAAAGCUAGGGUAGCAAAUGGG
rnacentral:rRNA from 1 species